GACGAACCGUCCAAACGUUAUUCGGAAUUACUGGGCUUAAAGGGUGCGUAGGCGGCGCGGAAAGUUGGGUGUGAAAUCCCUCGGCUCAACCGAGGAACUGCGCUCAAUACUACCGUGCUCGAGGGAGAUAGAGGUGAGCGGAACUUAGGGUGGAGCGGUGAAAUGCGUUGAUAUCCUAAGGAACACCGGUGGCGAAAGCGGAUCUCUGGGCCUUACCUGACGCUCAGGUGCGAAAGCUAGGGGAGCGAACAGG
rnacentral:rRNA from 1 species